rnacentral:rRNA from 1 species
CACGUAGGCACCAAGCGUUGUCCGGAUUUAUUGGGCGUAAAGAGCUCGUAGGCGGUUCGGUAAGUCGGGUGUGAAAACUCUGGGCUCAACCCAGAGAGGCCACCCGAUACUGCUGUGACUCGAGUCCGGGAGAGGUGAGUGGAACUCCGAGUGUAGAGGUGAAAUUCGUAGAUAUUCGGAAGAACACCAGUGGCGAAGGCGGCUCACUGGCCCGGUACUGACGCUCAUGUGCGAAAGCGUGGGGAGCAAACAGG